UGCGGGGUGGAGCAGUGGUAGCUCGUUGGGCUCAUAACCCAAAGGUCGUAGGUUCGAAUCCUGCCCCCGCUACAA
rnacentral:tRNA from 2 species